CCUAGACCCAGUUCAGUUCUGUUCCUCUGAGACUGUUUGUGAAUAUGGGACCUGAUCCUAGACCCAGUUCAGUUCUGUUACUCUGAGACUGUUUGUGAAUAUGGGACCUGAUCCUAGACCCAGUUCAGUUCUGUUCCUCUGAGACUGUUUGUGAAUAUGGGACCUGAUCCUAGACCCAGUUCAGUUCUGUUCCUCUGAGACUGUUUGUGAAUAUGGGACCUGAUCCUAGACCCAGUUCUGUUCCUCUGAGACUGUUUGUGAAUAUGGGACCUGAUCCUAGAUUAUGUUACUCUGAGACUUGCUUGUCAAUAUGUGUACAGCUCUUUAGUAUCACAACUCCUCACAACCUUUUUUAAAAUGUUUUAUUGAUAGUUCACCUGAAAUGAUAUUUUGAUUUCCUUCCAGUCUUGGGACCAAGUAAGAUGGUAAUCCUUUAAUCUUUAUGUUUGUUUUACCUGGACACUAAAUAAUACAUCUUGUUGUUGUUGUCCAACACCUUGCAAGUCAAUGUCCUCCCUCAUGUCCUGGGUGAACUAUCAACCUUUUACCCGGGUGGGGAUUGGCUUUUAUAGACGGGGCUCAUCUGGAAGGUUUCUUACCCGGGUGGGGAUUGGCUUUUAUAGACGUGGCUCAUCUGGAAGGGGAUUGGCUUUUAUAGACGGGGCUCAUCUGGAAGGGGAUUGGCUUUUAUAGACGGGGCUAAUCUGGAAGGGGAUUGGCUUUUAUAGACGGGGCUCAUCUGGAAGGGGAUUGGCUUUUAUAGACGGGGCUCAUCUGGAAGGGGAUUGGCUUUUAUAGACGGGGCUAAUCUGGAAGGGGAUUGGCUUUUAUAGACGGGGCUCAUCUGGAAGGGGAUUGGCUUUUAUAGACGGGGCUCAUCUGGAAGGGGAUUGGCUUUUAUAGACGGGGCUCAUCUGGAAGGGGAUUGGCUUUUAUAGACGGGGCUCAUCUGGAAGGGGAUUGGCUUUUAUAGACGGGGCUCAUCUGGAAGGGGAUUGGCUUUUAUAGACGGGGCUCAUCUGGAAGGGGAUUGGCUUUUAUAGACGGGGCUCAUCUGGAAGGGGAUUGGCUUUUAUAGACGGGGCUCAUCUGGAAGGGGAUUGGCUUUUAUAGACGGGGCUCAUCUGGAAGGGGAUUGGCUUUUAUAGACGGGGCUAAUCUGGAAGGUUUCUUACCCGGGUGGGGAUUGGCUUUUAUAGACGGGGCUCAUCUGGAAGGUUUCUUACCCGGGUGGGGAUUGGCUUUUAUAGACGGGGCUAAUCUGGAAGGUUUUUUUUACCCGGGUGGGGAUUGGCUUUUAUAGACGGGGCUCAUCUGGAAGGGGAUUGGCUUUUAUAGACGGGGCUCAUCUGGAAGGGGAUUGGCUUUUAUAGACGGGGCUCAUCUGGAAGGGGAUUGGCUUUUAUAGACGGGGCUCAUCUGGAAGGGGAUUGGCUUUUAUAGACGGGGCUCAUCUGGAAGGGGAUUGGCUUUUAUAGACGGGGCUAAUCUGGAAGGGGAUUGGCUUUUAUAGACGGGGCUAAUCUGGAAGGGGAUUGGCUUUUAUAGACGGGGCUAAUCUGGAAGGGGAUUGGCUUUUAUAGACGGGGCUAAUCUGGAAGGUUUCUUACCCGGGUGGGGAUUGGCUUUUAUAGACGGGGCUCAUCUGGAAGGCUUCUUACCCGGGUGGGGAUUGGCUUUUAUAGACGGGGCUAAUCUGGAAGGGGAUUGGCUUUUAUAGACGGGGCUAAUCUGGAAGGUUUCUUACAGAAGAAACAUGGGAUGCAUAAACAUAGUAGAAUAAUUUUUUUAAAGAACCGUUUGGGGAUUAUGGCAACAGUUUGGAGAUUAUGGGGACGGUUUGGGGAUGGUUUGGAGAUUAUGGGGACGGUUUGUAGAUUAUGGGGACAGUUUGUAGAUUAUGGGGACAGUUUGUAGAUUAUGGGGACGGUUUGGAGAUUAUGGGGACGGUUUGUAGAUUAUGGGGACAGUUUGUAGAUUAUGGGGACAGUUUGUAGAUUAUGGGGACGGUUUGGAGAUUAUGGGGACAGUUUGGAGAUUAUGGGGACGGUUUGUAGAUUAUGGGGACAGUUUGUAGAUUAUGGGGACGGUUUGGAGAUUAUGGGGACGGUUUGGAGAUUAUGGGGACAGUUUGUAGAUUAUGGGGACAGUUUGUAGAUUAUGGGGACAGUUUGUAGAUUAUGGGGACAGUUUGUAGAUUAUGGGGACAGUUUGUAGAUUAUGGGGACGGUUUGGAGAUUAUGGGGACAGUUUGGAGAUUAUGGGGACGGUUUGGAGAUUAUGGGGACAGUUUGUAGAUUAUGGGGACGGUUUGGAGAUUAUGGGGACAGUUUGGAGAUUAUGGGGACAGUUUGGGGAUGGUUUGGAGAUUAUGGGGACAGUUUGGAGAUUAUGGGGACAGUUUGUAGAUUAUGGGGACAGUUUGGAGAUUAUGGGGACAGUUUGGAGAUUAUGGGGACAGUUUGGAGAUUAUGGGGACGGUUUGGAGAUUAUGGGGACAGUUUGUAGAUUAUGGGGACAGUUUGUAGAUUAUGGGAACAGUUUGUAGAUUAUGGGGACGGUUUGUAGAUUAUGGGGACAGUUUGGAGAUUAUGGGGACAGUUUGGAGAUUAUGGGGACAGUUUGGAGAUUAUGGGGACAGUUUGGAGAUUAUGGGGACAGUUUGUAGAUUAUGGGGGACGGUUUGGAGAUUAUGGGGACAGUUUGUAGACUAUGGGAACCGUUUGUAGAUUAUGGGAACAGUUUUGUAGA